rnacentral:tRNA from 1 species
GCCUGGGUGGCUCAGUCGGUUGAGUGUCUGACUUCGGCUCAGGUCAUGAUCUCACAGUUUGUGCGUUCAAGCCUCACGUUGGGCU